GCGACUGUUUACUAAAAACACAGGUCCGUGCGAAGCCGUAAGGCGAUGUAUACGGACUGACGCCUGCCCGGUGCUGGAACGUUAAGGGGACCGGUUAGUGCGCUUUCGGGCGUGCGAAGCUGAGAACUUAAGCGCCAGUAAACGGCGGUGGUAACUAUAACCAUCCUAAGGUAGCGAAAUUCCUUGUCGGGUAAGUUCCGACCUGCACGAAUGGCGUAACGACUUCUCGACUGUCUCAACCAUAGGCCCGGUGAAAUUGCACUACGAGUAAAGAUGCUCGUUUCGCGCAGAAGGACGGAA
rnacentral:ncRNA from 1 species